AUGAACGCUGGCGGCGUGCCUAAUACAUGCCAGUCGAGCGAACGGACGAGAAGCUUGCUUCUCUGAUGUUAGCGGCGGACGGGUGAGUAACACGUGGAUAACCUACCUAUAAGACUGGGAUAACUUCGGGAAACCGGAGCUAAUACCGGAUAAUAUUUUGAACCGCAUGGUUCAAAAGUGAAAGACGGUCUUGCUGUCACUUAUAGAUGGAUCCGCGCUGCAUUAGCUAGUUGGUAAGGUAACGGCUUACCAAGGCAACGAUGCAUAGCCGACCUGAGAGGGUGAUCGGCCACACUGGAACUGAGACACGGUCCAGACUCCUACGGGAGGCAGCAGUAGGGAAUCUUCCGCAAUGGGCUAAAGCCUGACGGAGCAACGCCGCGUGAGUGAUGAAGGUCUUCGGAUCGUAAAACUCUGUUAUUAGGGAAGAACAUAUGUGUAAGUAACUGUGCACAUCUUGACGGUACCUAAUCAGAAAGCCACGGCUAACUACGUG
rnacentral:rRNA from 1 species